ACCUGUUCACACAUGACCUAAUUGCUAUUUUCUCCCAUCACACCCACCGCCUUUCUCCUCUCUACGCCUCUCUCCUCCGUCUACGCCUACGCCUCUCUCAUCCUCUCUCCUCCGUCUGCGCCUCUCUACACCUCUCUACGCCUCUCUCCUCCGUCUGCGCCUCUCUACACCUCUCUACGCCUCUCUCCUCCGUCUACGCCUCUCUAUGCCUCUCUACGCCUGUUGAGAGAAAUGACAAAGAAAAAGCACUCAUUGGGGGGAAUUGAUGAAGGGCGAGAAUGAUGAUGAUGUAGUGGGCCUAGAGCAUGGGGCUGGGCCUAGAGCAUGGGGCUGGUGCUGGUGUCGGUGUCGGUGUCACAGCGAUGGAUGGGAAGAGAAUGCUAGUUCUAUCGUUGGGCACAGGAUCAGCCAAGCGUGAAGAAAAGUACAAUGCAGCCAAGGCAUCCGAAUGGGGCCUCCUCAGUUGGAUUUUCGACAAUGUCAGCACACCCAUCAUCGACAUUUUUGGUGAUGCUAGUUCUGAUAUUUCUCAUUGCAUUCAGAUUAUGGUUGGAAAAAUUCCUUUAGGGCUUGAUUUGAUCUUGCAAAGAACGGAAAACAUCUCUAGAGAAGUGGGUUUGAGGUGUUAAUUGCAGCAGCAAGGUUUGAGCUUUUGGACUGCAGUGGAUGGAUUUGUACGUUAGGUCUUGGUUCAAUAAACUAGCACCAUUUUAUAAAUCUACUCUUAUUUAUAUUUCCUUGCUCUAUCCUUAUUCCAUUUCAGGUACACCUCUUCUCUUUUCCAUUUUGUUUUUGGCUCAAAUCUCGUGUUUAUAGUAGAGACUUUAUUUAAGAUUUGCUCCCAUUUCUAAUUCUUGCAAAACACUGGAUCAUUUUUAUAUAUAAUGAUAUCAAUUUUUAGAUUACGUGUAUAUAUACUAAAAUUUCUUUUGCUGCAUUUUCACAUGAUUAUGAUCUGGGUUUUGAUUUUUUUUUCAAUCUAUGUAUAGAUAGAAUGUAUUCCCUUUCAGUCUAUUGACUUUAUAUUUGAAUGCAAAUUGGUUUGUUAUCUAUUUCAAUUUCUUUUACAAGGUUUGAGUUCCCUGUGGUUGAUAUGUGUUGCUCACUAACUUCAUUCUUGAGAAUCUUAGGAAAUCAAAUUGAUAACUUUCAAUCUUGAUUUUGGAAUUUAGGGACUUUCUGCUAGUGUUCCAUUAAAAUAAAUCUUUUUUUGGGUAGGUUUUUUAUUUAGAUGCUAUGUAUUGCAUGUUUACUUUUAUAAAUAUAAAAGUCUCUGUUCUCAUAUAUAUAUAUAUAAUAUAUUUAUUUAUUAUAGAAGUGAGAGAAUGAAAUGGCAAGCUAUCUCCAUGUUUUCUGCCUUAUAUUCAUCUUGAACUCAUAUAUGCAUAUUUCUUACAGCAUAUGCAAGUAUCAUUUUUUUGCAGUACAAGGUCUCUAAACUUUAAUUCAUAUAUGUAGGUUUCUUUUGACAUAUGCAUGAACAUAAUAUGGUCCAAAUAUUUUUACUUAUCAAUUCUAUUUUUGUUUUUUAACUUAUGUUCCAACUUUAUAUUUUUGUUCAUAAUCUAUCUUUUGCUAAAGAUGUCUCCAUCUACAUGAAUUAAUUAUUGUACCCAAUAUGUAUUCCAUUUAGGACAUUAUAUAUAUAUAUAUAUAUAUAUUGAGUAAAAAUGUCUCUUAUCUAUCAUUUCUAGUACUAAAGUAAUGAGAAAAUUAAUCUGAGAAACUCACAUAGUUGGAACUACCGAAAAUGAUACUUUUUAAAAGAAUUCACUAUGCCAAAUUUGUAGACCCUUAUGUAUUUAAUGCAAUGUUUUGUAACAAAACUGACUAGAGAAUUUACUUUUCUUGGUCAAAGUCCAACUCCAUCAAGACAAACCAUAUAGAUAUUGUGUCUUGAUCAUAAUUGAAAGUCAUUCUUAUAUCACUGCCGUUUGCGGCCGACGUCACUUAAGUUUUUAAGGUUAUAAUUAAAAACGGUUUUGCUUGUAGUGGCUGCAUGCGUUGGCUUCUUGGGCUCUCUCAUCUAGGUCCUUUGGUAUCUUGAAUUUUUGGAGGUGAUCCCUUAUGUGUUGGUUUUUUGGAACUUCAAUGUAUUUUCUUAUUUCUUGAGAAAAAUUAGGUUGGGUUUUUUAUUGACAUGUACUAUAUUGAAUGGGUAUGAUUAUUAGAAAGUGUGCUCAACAUGCUGGAAGUGUUAAUAGAUAUGAUUAUUAGAAAGUGUUAGUGAAUCGUAUUUGGUGUUUUAUUUUAAUGAAAAGUGAGGAAGUCCAUUGUGAACAUACUUGCAUCCAUAUCUAGCUACUUUAAAGUAUGUUAAUAUUUUUUUUUUUUUAAAAUAGUAUUUUACCCCAUAGGCCACUAAUUCUCUCUCCUACCUACCCUAAUAUAUUUACUAUGUUUGAAAAAUAGCAUGCCCAAAUAUAUUAUUAAUUGGGUUGUAGUUGAUCAACUUGAUUACAAAAAUAAUAUGAAUAUAAGGGCCUGUUUGGUAUUGUUUUCUGUUUUUUGUUUUCAAAAUUGUGUUAUCAGAAAUGAGAACAGAAAACUGUUUUUGUAGUUUUUAAAAAACAAGAGUUGUUUGGUUAAUAUUUUCUAAAAAUAUUUUUUUAGUUUUAUUUUUUUAAAAUCUUAAAUAAAAAAUUAACAAAUAUAUUUACAAAUAGAAAAAUAUUUUAAAAGUUUGCAAUAAAUAAUGAGAUAAAAUAAUUUAAAAGAAAAAAUGAUGAAAAAUAAGAAGUGAGAAAAUUUGAGAACAACAGAAAACAACUUUUCCUUGUUCUCAAAAUUUUCUGUUUUUUGUAACUUUGUUUUUAAAAAUUGUUUUCUAAAAACAAUGCCAAACACCCACACUUGUUUUCAAAAAACAGUUUUUAGCUUUUAAAAACAAAAAACAGUUUUUUAGUUAAGGUGCCAAACGCCCCCUAAUUUUCUUUGCUUAAAAAGCUUUUGGAAUCCUUGCUAAUGGAAAUGAAAUGAUAUUGUGAUAUGAUAGAUGAAGGGGAUGUGAAUGAGUACAACUUGAAACAAAUGGGAAGGAGUCCAAUUGGUACAAUACAAAUUUUUUUAAAUGGUCAUUGGAAUUACUCUGAUGCAAAAGUAUUCCACACCUUGUCUAUGAUAUGUGAUGUGCAAUAUUCUCAUUUCAAUUAUGUUUUUAUCAUACAAUCAGGAUUGGUUUGUAUUUUUCUUUAUUAUUUGUUUCUCUAGAUGGAACAAACUAAUAUGCAUUGGAGGGCAUGCUUUUGGUGAUCAGUACAUAGCUAUAGAUACCAUUUUAAUGGACUUGGAAAACUUAAAUUGUUUGCACUCAUUUAAUUUUCACUGCCGUUGAACUUGCAGACUUGUGACAAAAAAAGAUAAAAUAAUGUUAUUUAAUAUAUAUUUGUCAAUUUAUAUCUAUAUUAAUUAAUGUCAUUAAUUUUUUUCUAAAAUUUGAUAAUAUGUGAAGUGUUUUAGUUUUAUAGUUUCAUAGUUUUUGUUGGUAGUUUUUGUUUUAGAAAGUAUAUUGGACGAGUUUUGUUGAUGUUUUUGUAUCAGAAAAUUUCAGAUGUGAUAUUGUAGAAUAUAAGCUAAAAUGUUACAUUUUUCUUAACUUCUCCUAUGUUUUUCUUUUAUUUUGAUGCAGGAAGUGACGUGUUUGAUAGUAUAAAAAUUAGAUUUCUUCUCAUAUUUCUAUGUUGAAACAACUACCAACAUUUCUUAAUUCUUUGUUGUUGGUGCUAUAGCUUCUUGUGAAAUAUUAUACUCUAUAUCAUUUGGUCUGUAAUGUUCUUAAACAACUGCUGUUAAUUUUAGAAAUCUUAACUAUAUCACUUGAUCUGCAAUGUUCUUGCCAGUAGAGAAAUAACUGCUUUUAAUCUUAGAAAAUCUUAACUAUAUUACUUGAUCUGCAAUGUUUCUACUUCUAGAGGGGAAAAAAAAAAUCAAAUACUGUCUUUAAAAAACUCUUACCCGCAAUUCGAUUUAUUUAAUCAUUUUUUGUUGAUUAAGGACUGAUUAGAACAUCAAUGAUCAGCCAUUCAAUUAUAUAGUGGAACAUAUAUUUCAUAAAGUGUUCGUAGAUUCCCCUACUCUAUCUUCAUUGUCUUCAUUCACACUUGUUUUGCAUAUAAUUUGGCAGGGAAAUGAGCUUCAUAGCCAGGGAAAGUACAAUGAUGCCUUGCAGAAGUACUAUCUUGUAUUGGGAUAUGAUGUGAAGAAUGUGAAAGCACUUUACCGGAGAGGUCAAGCAUAUAAAGAACUAGGUCAACUACAAGCUCAUGAAGUUUCUCCUGAUGAUGAAACAAUUGCAGAGGUCUUGAGGGAUGCUGAGGAAAGAUUACUGAAGGAGGGAGGUGCACGUGCACCAAGAGAUCAUUCAAGAAAUUCAUUGCAAAUGCUGAUCCUGAAACUCUUGCUGCUUUGAAUGCUGGUAAUUCUGGAGAGGUAAAUGCUGACAUGGUAAAGUCUGCAUCAAACAUGAUUGGCAAAAUGUCAGCUGAGGAACUUCAGAGAAUAUUUGAAUUGGCUUCCUCAUUUCAGGGGGAUAACCCAAGUAUUAUGGGAGGCCUUUGUACUAAUGACAGUUUCAAACCUGGGCCAGUUCCUCCAAAUCUGACACCUAACAUGCUGAAAAUAGCAUCUGAUAUGAUGAAUAAAAUGCCACCAGAGGAACUUCAGAAGAUGUUCAAAAUGGCAUCACAAUUGAGGGGAAAUAACUCAUUUCCAAUGCCAACAUCUCUAAAUGCGGCUGGACCCAGUUCAGAUGGUGGUUUAAGAGCAGGACCCAGUUCUGUUAUAGAUGAAACUAAUGUUCAAGGCGAAAGUAGUUCACACGGUACAUCUUUAAAUUCAAGAAGUUUUCCAGCUCAAUCGAGCUUCCCCGCCCCCACUGGUGAUCUGGAAGAACAGAUGAGAAACCAAAUGAAAGAUCCAGCAAUGCGGCAGGGCCUUAAGCGCAAAUGAACUGUCAGGGGAGGUACCAAAGGAAUUGGGACUACUUACUGACCUAUCUUUUUUGUACUUACCAAUGAACAAUUUCUCUCUUCAGCUACCGCCAGAACUAGGGAAUUUAAACAAAUUAAAAAUACUUAGUCUUUCCAGUUUUGGAGUUAGUGGCGAGAAUCCUUCAACAUUUGAAAAUCUCCAAAGCUUGGAACAAUUGUGGGCAUCAGAUAAUGAGCUUGCAGGCAAGAUUCCAUAUUUCAUAGGAAGUUGGUCAAAUCUUACUAACAUGGUAUUACAAGGAAAUUAUUUUCAAGGGCCUAUACCAUCAACGUUUGUGAAUCUGACUUCUUUAGUACAAUUGGAUCAUGACGAGGCGACCUUUGGUCUUGCAGCUUGACAAGACAAACGAGGGAGCUCAGAAAUACGCUGAGUUUCUUCACCUUUGCAAGAGGAGAUUCACAGAUUUUGCUUGAUAACUUGUGUUACAUGAAAUAUCAAUUGAUGUUCAGUUUUUAAGUUACAUAAUUAUUUUUGCCAAAACUUGAGAAGAGAGCUGGCAAUUAGGAGUCAGAAAAUCUGAGGUCAAAUUUAGGAUGUGUUGGAUGAGGCAACUACAAUGAAACUUUUAGAGAGGUAACUAUCUACAGGAUCCUAUGCUGAUAUGACCAUGUUAGAAGACGAACUACCAACAAAAAGAUGACUUUCAUCAGCCCUUGUCAAGGUAUAUUGAGAUGAUUUCUUUGGAGAAAUUCUUGACAACAUUUGUAGUUUAGGCCUUUAGAAUGGAAGAAUGUAUUUCACUAAUUUUUGUAUACAUUUCUUGUUUUGUAUUUAGUGAUAAAGGAAUCUGAAUUGGACAUAAAUUAUGUUGUAAUAUGAUUUCUUAAGCCUAGACUAGUAGACUAAAUAUUGUAAUUACAUUUGAGUAAUUAAUAAAAAUGUAUUUAUGUUA